rnacentral:rRNA from 1 species
GUUGGCCUCGGAUCAGGUGGGGAUACCCGCUGAACUUAAGCAUAUCAAUAAGCGGAGGAAAAGAAACCAACAGGGAUUGCCUCAGUAACGGCGAGUGAAGCGGCAACAGCUCAAAUUUGAAAUCUGGCUCCUUCGGGGUCCGAGUUGUAAUUUGUAGAGGGUGCUUCGAGCGAAGCCCCGGCCCAAGUCCCUUGGAACAGGACGUCAGAGAGGGUGAGAACCCCGUGUCCGGCCGGCGGCGCUCCUCGUGUGAAGCCCCUUCGACGAGUCGAGUUGUUUGGGAAUGCAGCUCUAAAUUGGUGGUAAAUUCCAUCUAAAGCUAAAUACCGGCCAGAGACCGAUAGCGCACAAGUAGAGUGAUCGAAAGAUGAAAAGCACUUUGAAAAGAGAGUUAAAAAGUACGUGAAAUUGUUGAAAGGGAAGCGCUUGCGGCCAGACUUGCCCGCGGAGGUUCAGCCCGUCUUCUGGCGGGUGCACUCCUUCGCGGUCAGGCCAGCAUCGGUUUGGGCGGUCGGACAAAGGCCUUGGGAACGUAGCCCCCUCCGGGGGGUGUUAUAGCCCUCGGUGCAAUGCGGCCAGCCCGGACCGAGGAUCGCGCUCUGCUAGGAUGCUGGCGUAAUGGCUGUAAGCGGCCCGUCUUGAAACACGGACCAAGGAGUCUAACAUCUAUGCGAGUGUUUGGGUGUCAAACCCGUGCGCGUAAUGAAAGUGAACGGAGGUGGGAGCCUUUGGGUGCACCAUCGACCGAUCCUGAUGUCUUCGGAAGGAUUUGAGUAAGAGCAUAGCUGUUGGGACCCGAAAGAUGGUGAACUAUGCCUAGAUAGGGUGAAGCCAGAGGAAACUCUGGUGGAGGCUCGCAGCGGUUCUGACGUGCAAAUCGAUCGUCAAAUCUGGGUAUAGGGGCGAAAGACUAAUCGA